UGCCUAAUACAUGCAAGUCGAACGGGUAUCUGUCUUCGGACAGAUACUAGUGGCGCACGGGUGAGUAACACGUGGGUAAUCUGCCUUGAAGUGGGGAAUAACCAGUCGAAAGAUUGGCUAAUACCGCAUAAGACCACAGAGUCUCAUGACUCAGGGGUUAAAGGAGCAAUUCGCUUCAAGAUGAGCCUGCGCGGGAUUAGCUAGUUGGUGAGGUAAUGGCUCACCAAGGCUUCGAUCUCUAGCUGGUCUGAGAGGGUGAUCGGCCACACUGGAACUGAGACACGGUCCAGACUCCUACGGGAGGCAGCAGUGGGGAAUAUUGCACAAUGGGCGCAAGCCUGAUGCAGCAACGCCGCGUGAGCGUGAAGGCCUUCGGGUCGUAAAGCUC
rnacentral:rRNA from 1 species